rnacentral:rRNA from 1 species
UUUAGAUGUAAAAUAAUUAAACUUGAGUAGUAUUAGUUAUGAUCUUGAAACUUAAAGAAUUUGGCGGUAUUUUAGUCUAUUUAGAGGAAUCUGUUUCAUAAUCGAUAAUCCACGUUGGACCUUACUUAAUUUUUAUAAUAUGUAUACCGCCGUUAAUUUAGAUCUUAUUAGAGUUAAUAAUUUUUUUAAUAUUUGUUAAAUAAUAUUUCAGGUCAAGGUGCAGUUUAUAGUUAAGUCGAAAUGGAUUACAAUUUUURUAAAAAUAAUGGAUUAUUAAUUGUAAUUAUUGAUAUAAAGGUGGAUUUAAUAGUAAUUAUAUGUAGAUUAUUAUUUUGAUUAUAGCUCUAGAAUAUGU